ACGAUUGAUUGACAUGUAUAACACAUUUAUUGUACUUAUGACACAAUCAACAACCCAAGAUACAAUUAAAAAAAAGAAGCGGAAACAUUCGUGUGGAACCUCCAUAUCGUUACCUAUGCCGUCCAAAAGGCGAAAAGUAAAAGUAACAGAAAAAGCAUAAAUACAAAAGCAAACUGACAAAUCCACAGGGAUGGAUAGGAUAUUGGAGGAAGGAUCGAGGAAAGACAAAGCCAGAACAGAACUCCGAGAACGACGUCAUCCAUCCACAAAAUAUCAUCUAUCAGUGAAAGAUCAUUUAUCUACUUGAGGG
rnacentral:lncRNA from 1 species